GUCCCUGUUCCGACUAACAUACAAAUUCAACUGAAGAACAAACCUACAGGACCUAUCUGGUUCAUAACUUGGGGAUUGCCUGUAUAUUCCAAAAUCCAAAAGUUAUUCUGGUGUGUUCCUGCGUGGCAGAAUGAGGUUGGACUGGAUGGCCCUUGGGGUCUUUUCCAACUCUGUGGUUCAUUGUGUACAUAUAUGCAAAGCCAGGUACAGUAGAGUCUCACUUAUCCAAGCCUCGCUUAUCCAAGUUUCUGGAUUAUCCAAGCCAUUUUUGUAGUCAAUGUUUUCAAUAUAUCGCGAUAUUUUGGUGCUAAAUUCGUAAAUACAGUAAUUACAACAUAACAUUACUGCAUAUUGAACUGCUUUUUCUGUCAAAUUUGUUGUAAAACAUGAUGUUUUGGUGCUUAAUUUGUAAAAUCAUAACCUAAUCUGAUGUUUAAUAGGACCGGGCUGUGGCCCAGGCUGGAAAGCAAGCCAGCUGCAACAAAUCAACAAAUCACUCUGACCAAGAGGUCAUGAGUUCGAGGCCAGCCCGGUGCCUGCGCCUUGUCUCUGUUCUGUGUCAUGGCAUUGAAUGUUUGCCUUUAUGUGUGCAAUGUGAUCCGCCCUGAGUCCCCUUCGGGGUGAGAAGGGCAGAAUAUAAAUGCUGCAAAUAAAUAAAUAAAUAAAUAUUCCUUGAUCCCUCCUUAUUAUCCAAGAUAUUCGCUUAUCCAAGCUUCUGCCGGCCCGUUUAGCUUGGAUAAGUGAGACUCUACUUUAUUCCAAAAUCCAAAACAAAAGUAUUCCCCUAGCGUUUGAGAUACGGAAAACUCAGCCUGUAUCCUUUUUCCUUCCACCUUGCUGUUUGCAUGCAUGAACUACACCAGACGACUUUGCCCACUGGGCACAAACUUCCCCGUCACCACAAUCACAGUCACCCGUGUCUCCCCCGCAUCAUCUGAACACUUCCCGAGCCAACGCUCAAUAGCUUUGCGGCGGCUCUCUGGUGAAAGUCCGGAGGCGCAGCCUUGGCUUUGGGUUCCUCGGGGCGACAGCAAACAAAAGGGCUUGUUUUGCAUCUCGCGUGUCUCUCUCUCUCUCUGUGUGUUUGAACACCCUCCGCCUUCCCAUCGGAUGGAUCUUCCUCGCGAAGGGAGCUUUCUCUUUCUCCGUUGACUUGGCAGGACCAGAGCCAGAAGGACUGCUGCUAUUUUUCCCCCUUUGGAGCUGGGCGAAGACUGGGCUUCAUAAACCCUGCUACGAUCCCCGGUUUCCCCCACGGGGCCCUCGGGGACUGAUGGGCAGCACCGCGAGCCGGGCAGCAUGGAGUGGGAGUUCAACUUGCUCCUCUACCUGGCGCUGUUCUUCUUGCUCCUCUUCCUGCUCUUCCUGCUCCUCUUCGGGGUCAUCAAGCAGCUGAAAAACUCCGUGGCCAGCACGGGGUCCCUCCAGUCCAGCGGCCGCCCUUCGCUGAGGGAGCCCUGGGGCUUUUGUCGGGAGCAAGCCCUCUGAGGAAGGGAGGGAGGGGGGCCAGAGAAGACCCCUCCCACCCAAAGGCAAGGCCUUCUCCUCCUCCUCCUCCUCCAGAAGGGUCCCUGGGAAGGAAAGACCAAGGCUCACUCAGAAACAAGGAUUGGUGCUAAAGCUUGAGAUUCCUGCUUCCAAACUGAACAUGACAUCAUUUUCCUUGUAGGAAGCUUCCAGGGUUGAACUCUGGCAUCAACAGAUGAGGCAUCAAGGUGGAAUGAACCAGAGAAGGCGAUUCUGCUCAGCAGCCAGUUAUCCAGAGAAGGUCAGAUGGACCUUCUGUCCUGCUGGUCAUCAUGACGAACAGCUUAUCUUUUGUCCUUGAGGAAGAGAAAAAGAGAUGGAUGUGCAAAAGGACAAUCUGCUUCACGAGGCUGCUGUGUUUGGAGACUGGACAUGUUGCGGAGCAACCAAUAAUGGCCACACAACAUAGUGAAUGUGUUUCAGUGAUAAACUAUAGCUUUCAAAAUGCCUGUUAUGGGUUUCCCUGAACUGAAGUUUGUUUUGCUUCCCCCUUCCCUUCCCUUCCCUUCCCUUCCCUUUGCCUCCAGAAUAUCUUUUCUCUAUGGGACUGUGUCCAUGGCAAUGGCUGAAUGACAGUCAUCUCGUUUGACAGCAAUAUAAAAAACCAAAAUGAACAUUCAGCAAGCAGUCUCAUUCCCCCUCUGCCACCUUUAUCCACUUUGUUUUACAAAUGAAAUUUGUCCUCUCUUGAGGUUCAUGUAUCUGUCUUUCUGGAAAUGCUGGACUGAAAUAAAAAGUACUUAUAGCUGGAUUAAAGAGUACUCACUUUUACCACUGAUGGUGAAGAAAACAAAAAAAAUUAUGUCAUAAUUAUUCUUAAAGAUCUAUACAGCCAAAACAUCAAUCAGUGGUGCAUCCACUCUGCAGAGCUUACAAUGCCUGCUAAUGAUUUUAAACUGCAAGCCUGUAGUGUCCUGGUUACAUAAAGAGCCUCCAUCUGAUUGCAUACAAUAGAUGCUUAUGAUAAUCUAUAUGUGAUAGAGCGUUGUGGGCUCCAUUGCAAAAUUGCUGCCACCGUGAGUGUGCCAGCCAUACAAAACGCACUUCCUCAAAAAGCAAAAUGGUGAGGAUAAAAGAAAAAUUUUCUUCAGAAUUAUACUUGAGACUUUUACAAAAAGGAUUCCUUUGGAUCCAUGGUUUGUAUUCCAAAAACAUACCCAUUUUGCAGAAAGGCUCGUCAAUUAUUUUCUCAAAUCAUCUAUAAAAUUCAUUUGUUGUUGUUCAUACUUCCCAAUAUAUUUUCCUAUAUACUCCGAAUCACUCACAAUAAUCAGUAAGUAUGAGAACACAUAUGUACUCUCUUUGGAUCAUCCCAAUCACACAGCCUCUGACAUUCAGUGAUUCUUAAACAUUCAUCCCCCAGAUGUGGUAGCUGCAGUGGAUCAAUGGGUUAAACCCUUGUGCCAGUUGAACUGCUGAUAUGAAGGUUGGCAGUUCGAAUCCGUGAGAUGGAGUGAGCUCCCGUCUAUCAGCCCUAGCUUCCUAUGCAUGAACAUAAGAGAAGCCUUCCACCAGGAUGGUAACACAUUCGGGCUUCCCUGGGCAACGUUUUGGUAGAUGUCCAAUUCUCUCACACCAGAUGCAACUUGCAGUAUGUUCUCAAUUUGCUUCUGGCACGAUAAAAAAAUCCUCCAGAUGUUUAGGAUCCAACUUCUAGAUGCCCCAGCUAGACUAGCCAACAGCCAAUAAUUCUGGAAGCUAAAGAAUAAAAUAUCUGGAGGUCCAUGUUGGAAAAUGGUGCUCUAGAUGUGUCUUUUGCUCUGUCUCUGAGUCUUGUCACAUUAGAGCUUCAAGAGUGGACUUACGCACAAUGCACCCCAUUCCCCUCUAUGUCCAACAUUCACAAUGGUAACAUUUUCCCCAAUCUUCUCCACUCCCUCACACCAUAAUGACAUCUGAGACCAUAUUAAAAUCUUUUCAGUGUAAAAUUAAAAAGAGGCAGGCAAUGUGUCUACCGAUUACACAUUGGAUACUUCAGUCAUAAAGGAAACCACUUGGAAGCUAAAACCUUGAAAACGUGGGAGUAUUUAUCUGUUCAAGGUUGCAAUCCACUGCUCAUGAAAUUCAGUCAAAAUCAAAAACUAUAGUUUGAUUAUAAUGUUUCUGGGGAAUGCAUCUUAUGUUAUGUCUUUACUUACAUUGUUUAAUUUGUUUUAUUGUGCUCAUCCUAUAGAGUCCUGUGAACUGUCAAAAGUGUGUAUAAAUAAAAAUCCAAAAAUGACAGAUAGA